ACCCAAUGUGACAUUUUUUAGUGCUUACUGAUCUGAUGUACUGGAUGGGAAGGAGUUCCAAGGCCCAGGAAUAAAGGCUAACGUCAUAUUAUUAUGGUCUCAAUGACUAGUGCCAUUAGAGAAUGUGGACUUCAUUCCACAGUCUUACUCCAAAGAAAAAAGAACUACAAAGAAUAAUGACCCAUGAAUUCUGGAGAGGAACGCAAGGCUGAUCCCUUUGAAGUGCUGAAACCUGAUGACUUGCAAUCAAUAGUCUGUGAAACAAUAAGGUUGGCAGUGAGAAGAUGCAGAUUUUCUGCCUCUAAAUGCAGAAUGAUGUGCUGAGCCACUGAGAUAGCUGGGGGACAUAUACUGCGUGUGCCUGUACUGAAAACAGUGAGACUUGGAGAAACUUGAAUAUACUUGGAGAUCUUGUGAUUGUUCUGUUCAAACACGGUUUUUCAACUCUACAGAUAAAGCUGUGGUUUUGUUAAGGGAUUCAGCCACGAAGUCCAUUAGAGCAUCAGAUGCAGUGAGGUCAAAUCAAUUGUCCAUACUGCAGACAAGGACGGGCAGUAAUAAUUGACUGAAGCAAUCACUGCUGUGGGAAAACAAACGUGCUGGCCGUGUCGCUGUGAAGGUCAGGCCUGAUGACACAAAGCUGACUUGCUGAGCAAACAUACCCAUGUAUGUGGAAUAGAGCUGAAGUAGUAAGAAG